rnacentral:rRNA from 1 species
GUGCAGCAGGCGAGAAACUCCGCAAUGCUCGAAAGAGUGACGGGGAGUUCCAAGUGCCUACGCUUAGCGUAGGCUGUUCAGAUGCCUAAAAAGACAUCUGGAGUAAGGGCUGGGUAAGACGGGUGCCAUCUGCAGUGGUAAUGAAAAACUUAGCUACUGCAAGGCAUAAGCCGCCGCGGUAAUACCCGCAGCCCGAGUGGUAGUCGCUUUUAUUGGGGCCUAAAAGCGUCCGUAGCCGGUCUGGGUAAAAUGCCCUGGGGUAAAAUCGUGGGGCCUAACCUCACGAAUUCCGGGUAGACUGCCAGACUUGGGACCGGUUGAGGGAGAGGGUAC